AGCUCCAAUAGCGUAUAUUAAAGUUGUUGCAGUUAAAAAGCUCGUAGUUGGAUUUGUGGCGUACGUAGUGUUCCCUUCACUAGUUGUUGGUGAAAUACUGUGUUGCCAUCCUUGGGUGGAAUCUGUGUGGCAUUAGGUUGUCGUGCAGGGGAUGCCCAUCUUUUACUGUGAAAAAUUAGAGUGUUCAAAGCAGGCUUACGCCGUUGAAUAGAUUAGCAUGGAAUAAUGAGAUAGGACCUUGGUACUAUUUUGUUGGUUUGCGCACUGAGGUAAUGAUUAAUAGGGACAGUUGGGGGUAUUCGUAUUCCAUUGUCAGAGGUGAAAUUCUUGGAUUUUUGGAAGACGAACUACUGCGAAAGCAUUUACCAAGGAUGUUUUCA
rnacentral:rRNA from 1 species